rnacentral:rRNA from 1 species
GGCCGGGGCGUGGAACUUCACUAGCAGUCGACGGUGAACACGGAGCUUGCUCUGUGGGAUCAGUGGCGAACGGGUGAGUAACACGUGAGCAACCUGCCCCUGACUCUGGGAUAAGCGCUGGAAACGGCGUCUAAUACUGGAUACGAGUAGCGACCGCAUGGUCAGUUACUGGAAAGAUUUAUUGGUUGGGGAUGGGCUCGCGGCCUAUCAGCUUGUUGGUGAGGUAAUGGCUCACCAAGGCGUCGACGGGUAGCCGGCCUGAGAGGGUGACCGGCCACACUGGGACUGAGACACGGCCCAGACUCCUACGGGAGGCAGCAGUGGGGAAUAUUGCACAAUGGGCGCAAGCCUGAUGCAGCAACGCCGCGUGAGGGAUGACGGCCUUCGGGUUGUAAACCUCUUUUAGCAGGGAAGAAGCGAAAGUGACGGUACCUGCAGAAAAAGCGCCGGCUAACUACGUGCCAGCAGCCGCGGUAAUACGUAGGGCGCAAGCGUUAUCCGGAAUUAUUGGGCGUAAAGAGCUCGUAGGCGGUUUGUCGCGUCUGCUGUGAAAUCCGGAGGCUCAACCUCCGGCCUGCAGUGGGUACGGGCAGACUAGAGUGCGGUAGGGGAGAUUGGAAUUCCUGGUGUAGCGGUGGAAUGCGCAGAUAUCAGGAGGAACACCGAUGGCGAAGGCAGAUCUCUGGGCCGUAACUGACGCUGAGGAGCGAAAGGGUGGGGAGCAAACAGGCUUAGAUACCCUGGUAGUCCACCCCGUAAACGUUGGGAACUAGUUGUGGGGUCCAUUCCACGGAUUCCGU